rnacentral:lncRNA from 1 species
UAUAAAUAUAACGAAGGCCUUGGGGAAUGGGAGCAUUUCUAAAUGACUUGAAGCUCUGUCACGGCAUAAUCUCUUAUAAAUAAAUGUCAGUGUAGUCACUGAAUGCAGACUGGAUUUUUGCCUGACUACGGUGCUCAGCCUUCUAGACAAUAGUUAUGCUAAGGGAUUAUCUUUUAACAUUGUGCAGUUAUCUCCUUUGUUUGUUUUCUUUUUUCAUUAUUCACAUAAGCCAAGGGAAAUGAAAAGCAUCUUAUUUCAGGCAAAAAGGCCUGUGAAUGAUUAACUCUGGUUCCAUGCGUUGGGACUUUGCAUAGCAACCCCGUGGCUUGCAACGACAAAAAAGCUCAAGGCAGGAACAGCAGCCCAGGGACCUGAGACCAGCGUUCUCAAAUGAAGCCAGAUCUGCUGUUAGAGGAGAAUUCUUCUGUCCUAGCUGUGUCUCUGUGAUCUGUGGAUGAGGGUGGGAAAGCACCACUCAGUCAAUUGGGGUGUACAAAAUGGAGUUUGAGAAGGUCUCACAUCCAGGUUGUUUUGAAGCAAAGUCCAAGCAUUGUAUCACUUCAUCUGCAAAUAUUUCAAUAAGUACCCAAAAGUGGUUGGACUGAGUCCCAUGAAGCCAGAUCACUUCUGACUGCAAGGAGCUUGGAAAAGCAAGUAUCUGGAUCUUUUACCAGCUAAAUUUGGAGAAUUAUUGAUCAAAUUUGGAUCUCUGUGUGCUGUCCUCCAAUUUAAUACUUUCUGUGUUGCUGUUUUAUUUUCUUUCUUCUGGAACCUGGCAAAGUGCGUCAAGCGAUGAGGCUUCCUCUUUGAAGAUCACAGGUGAGAAGAUUAGGUGCUUUCUCAGAAGCCCAGCAACCUGAUGGGAGUGUGGAGUGAGCAAGACCCAAAUCGGAGCUUCAUCCCUGCAUGGUUCAUUUUGCUUAUUUGGCAAACUUGCCCUGCAGAAUCUACUCAAGCUUCCUCAGUUUCUCAAAUCAUUCUUGGGCAACAAAUGAACAAGAAAGAGGACGUCUUAUUAUCUGGUGUCUGGCUUGCUGAUUUAAUAACCUAGGAGACAGUGUUUGAAGAACACAAACUCUAAAGUCCUUCACUUAAAAAAAAAAAAAAACUUUCCCAAAUUGCUUACCAUUUGGAAAAAUUGCCUUACCUUCUUCAGUCAUCUCUGAUGUUGUCAUCCUCAGAGUAAGAAGUACGCAUUCAUAAGGAACCAUAACGUCCUUCAGGAAAUCCAGUACACCCUACAAUUUUACCUAAAACUUUGAUGUUGUUUUUUCUGAGCAUUUUACCUUCUAGGGAAAUGGAUCUCAUGCUGUUUAUCAGUUUCUGAAAGUUGUUAUUAAUCUCCCCUCAUCCCAAAAUUGAAGAACUUUGCUUAAAUCUUAGAAUCAGAACUUUGGCUCCAGUAAUAAAGACUUUUCAAUAUCUUUAUCUGCCAUUGAGUCUUACCUAACGAAAUAAAGCCUCCAAAGUGGGAAUUUGAAAUGUUUUAGAAUCUUUUUUUUUCCUUUUGACAUAGUGAUUGGUGGGAUGCUACAGGCAGUUAGUGGUUAGGGUCCAGAAAUGCC